AUUGAACGCUGGCGGCAUGCUUUACACAUGCAAGUCGAACGGUAACAGGGAGCUUGCUCCGCUGACGAGUGGCGAACGGGUGAGUAAUGCGUCGGAACGUGCCGAGUAGUGGGGGAUAACGCAUCGAAAGGUGUGCUAAUACCGCAUACGUACUGAGGUAGAAAGUGGGGGACCUUCGGGCCUCACGCUAUUCGAGCGGCCGACGUCUGAUUAGCUAGUUGGUGAGGUAAAGGCUCACCAAGGCGACGAUCAGUGGCGGGUCUGAGAGGAUGAUCCGCCACACUGGGACUGAGACACGGCCCAGACUCCUACGGGAGGCAGCAGUGGGGAAUUUUGGACAAUGGGCGCAAGCCUGAUCCAGCCAUGCCGCGUGUCUGAAGAAGGCCUUCGGGCUGUAAAGGACUUUUGUCCGGGAGCAAAUGCCUGGUGUUAAUAGCACUGGGAGCUGAGAGUACCGGAAGAAUAAGCACCGGCUAACUACGUGCCAGCCGCCGCAGUAACAC
rnacentral:rRNA from 1 species